rnacentral:lncRNA from 1 species
AGGAAACAGUUUAGCAGCAGUAAUAUUUUCAAAUAAGUUUCACGCCUUUUUCAUCUGAUCCCUGGACUCUAAUCAAAGCAAAGGAUAACUCUGAGACAGCUCCCAACUCUGGGAUGCUCCCCAUCUGGGUUAAGUACAGCCUGGAGGAAAUGAUUUUGGAAUGAAGCCUGAUACAGAGGAUGGGAAGAAAAGCCAAGCCACCAUGAAGUUUUCUAACAAUUUUCUGCAACUUUGAUCUGUACCCUUUGAUUUUCGGCUGUGGUUCUAACAGUUAGCUGGUGUUGAAGUGAGUGCCACAAAAAAGAACUUAUUUCCAGCACAGCUGCCCUUCUUUACCUAUGAACCCUAUUGCACAUCACUGUGACCUAAGGACAAGGACUGUCAGCUCAAUGAGAUCUAUAACCGGAAUUUCAGAAACACCUGCUCCAUAGAGGCAAGACGAAGAGUCAUUGCCUGAAAGAAGGAAUAAUUCAGUUUCCCAAGGUGGCUCAGAACAUGAAGCAGAAGACUUCAGGAGAGAGAAGGUAAAGAUUCAAGUGCCAAAAUUACCCAUUACCCAAUCUUAGAAAAGCAUCACAUAUAAAGUUGAUGUCUUUUCUGCUCCAGCAUAGCAGAGUCUCAGGUACUCUUAAAAACACAGGAACGUGCUGUGCUAAGUCAGUC